rnacentral:rRNA from 1 species
AAUCUUCCACAAUGGACGGAAGUCUGAUGGAGCAAUGCCGCGUGAGCGAAGAAGGUUUUCGGAUUGUAAAGCUCUGUUGUGAGGGAAGAACACGUACGAGAGUAACUGCCCGUACCUUGACGGUACCUCAUUAGAAUUCCACGGCUUACUACGUGCCAUCAGCCGCGGUAAUACGUAGGUUGCAAGCGUUGUCCGGAAUUAUUGGGCGUAAAGCGCGCGCAGGCGGUAUUUUAAGUCUGAUGUGAAAGCCCACGGCUCAACCGUGGAAGGUCAUUGGAAACUGAAGGACUUGAGUACAGAAGAGGAAAGCGGAAUUCCACGUGUAGCGGUGAAAUGCGUAGAGAUGUGGAGGAACACCAGUGGCGAAGGCGGCUUUCUGGUCUGUAACUGACGCUGAGGCGCGAAAGCGUGGGGAGCAAACA